rnacentral:lncRNA from 1 species
GGGGCCCUCCCGGGCGUGUUUCCUAGGCGCCCCCUUCCCUCGAUGAACCCUUUGAUUUCUUCCCUCUUCUCUCACUUCGUUCCAGCCCCCUCAACUGCCUCCUGGAGCGCCUUUUUGGUGUGCUCGCCAUCUCACGUUUGGCCCUCUCUCCAAAGCUCUGCCUUCACGAACGCCUCCAUUUGACCUUCCCCCUCCGCCACUCUCUGGUCUCCUUUGUCACAUUAUUUGGGCACCUUGAUGAGGCCUUGGGGAUUCUACUGCCGUUGCUGCCAUUAGCAGUCUCUUUGCUUGGAAGCUUAAAUGAAGGAAAUUUCUGGGAACUGGUCAACGACUCCUGAAAUGCACCUUGAGGACUAAACAUCUCUCUCCCUCCAUCUCUGCUUGGUUAUUCUGUCUGCAAAGUCAAGCCCAAGGCCAUCUCACCAAGGUUCUGCUGCCAUCUCCCAGAACCCCAGCUAGGACUCCCUUGCCAGAGGCUGGAGGGGGCUGAGGUUUUGGUGGACAUAUUUAAGGGAAGUGGGCAGAGUUUCAUGUAUGCUGCAAAUUGUAAGCACUUACAUUUUUAAUGUAUCCAUCUUCUGUUUCUUUUCUGUCCAACAAAGUCAGCUUUUAUCUUCCCUUUUCUCCAGGGGGAAAAAAAAACCCCAAAAACUCCAGGGUAGAAUUAUGUCUCAGGUAAGGAAAAUGUAUCUACCAUUUCCUGAGGACCUUCUACAUGUGAAUCUG